CCCUUUGUUCUCCCGACUACUUUUUGUUCAGAGUUUCUAUGUCGUGGUUGUUUUCAGUAUUAUAUGCGCUUCAGAUGUUUGAAUUCUAUUUCUUCAUGGAAGUUGCUCCAUUUCAAACUUACCAUAACUCAAUGCUUAAAUUACACCAUUUAGGUGCACAAUAUGCACGCAGAUAAACUCACACAGACGCACGAACAUGCAUAGACAUGUUUGUUCAACGUGAACAUAGUAUCUGAAUUCAUACAUAAAAACAUUGUCCUUCCUGUUAGAGCAAUGAUGCCACAAUGGCCAAUUAUGAACAAAGUUAACCGUUCGCUCUUGCACUUUGAUUUGUUUGCAGG
rnacentral:lncRNA from 1 species